rnacentral:rRNA from 1 species
GAUGAACGCUGGCGGCGUGCCUAAUACAUGCAAGUCGAGCGAACAGACGAGGAGCUUGCUCCUCUGACGUUAGCGGCGGACGGGUGAGUAACACGUGGAUACCCUACCUAUAAGACUGGGAUAACUUCGGGAAACCGGAGCUAAUACCGGAUAAUAUAUUGAACCUCAUGGUUCAAUAGUGAAAGACGGUUUUGCUGUCACUUAUAGAUGGAUCCGCGCCGCAUUAGCUAGUUGGUACGGUAACGGCUUACCAAGGCAACGAUGCGUAGCCGACCUGAGAGGGUGAUCGGCCACACUGGAACUGAGACACGGUCCAGACUCCUACGGGAGGCAGCAGUAGGGAAUCUUCCGCAAUGGGCGAAAGCCUGACGGAGCAACGCCGCGUGAGUGAUGAAGGUCUUCGGAUCGUAAAACUCUGUUAUUAGGGAAGAACAAAUGUGUGAGUAACUAUGCACGUCUUGACGGUACCUAAUCAGAAAGCCACGGCUAACUACGUG